GCGCCAAUUUUGAAAUCAAGUACAUAGAGAGAGAUAAAAAUGUGCCGCGAGGGGUCUUUACAAUUUAAAUAAAACUGGGUUAGGGUUUCGUUUCUCAUAUCCCCGAAGAUCCUCUUUACAUUUUCGAUAGCCAUGGCGAGCACCAAAGUGCAGAGGAUUAUGACCCAGCCCAUUAACUUGAUUUUCAGGUUUCUUCAAAGUAAAGCUCGUAUUCAGAUUUGGCUAUUUGAGCAAAAGGACCUUAGGAUUGAAGGCCGAAUUAUCGGAUUUGAUGAGUACAUGAACUUAGUGCUUGAUGAUGCUGAGGAAGUUAAUGUUAAGAAAAAGAGUAAAAAGGCACUUGGGAGGAUUCUUCUCAAGGGAGACAAUAUUACAUUAAUGAUGAACGCGGGAAAAUGAUGAUCAUCCAGCAGAACACAUUAUUGAGAUAAAGUUUUCACUUUCAUUGCAAUCAUGAAGUUGGAAAGGGGAAGGUGAAGCAGAUAAAAGGUAGACAUCCAUUAGUAGACUUCUGGUGAUAAAAGGCAUAUCUGAGCACCAGGGUGUGGGAAGAAAGAUUGGACUACGAACGAAGCCAAGAGAAGGUGGUGGUGGCCGGUGGGACACACGUGGGGUCAGGGAAUCACACCCUUCUAGCUCGUUUAACCAUUGUCUUGAUGUCUUCUGCUUGCAAUUGGCAGUAUGAGAAAAGGUCACUUUUCGAUUAAGUUAUUUGGCAAUUUCGGGAUAGGAAUUUGUUAAUCAUAGGUCGUGACCUAAUACGAUUCUGGCACUCCCGAUUCUUUGGGAAGCCUGGCUGUCAACGAUGCCUUUACCCAUGAAGCACGAAGGACCCUCACAAAAACAAUAUACAGUGCACAUUCUAUUCACACUUGGAGGAUUCUGAUGCUUAGUUUCAAUCUUCAUGUGACAAGAAGGCUAAUGCUCGGGCUUUUUGUUAAUACUUUAUUCAUUCCUCAACGCUUCGCUUGGUUCUUGACCUACUGAGAUGAACGAGGGAAUUACAUGUCACACGACAACUGCAUUUCUUUUUUCACAUUAGAAGACCACAUUGGAAUAAACCUUGCUUCUAACUUCACUCUGAACAAGAUUUGAACACAGCUAAAAUAGUUUAUGAAGUUCCAAACUCAGUACUAUCAUUUUGAUAUUUACGAAUAAUAACGAAAGCGUUGGUCAUUUGACAUAACCGUUAAAUUGGUAUAAAUAACUGAACUUCAAUAGUAAA